rnacentral:lncRNA from 1 species
CAAAAUGGCACAGGUAUAAAAUAAUAUUUCUGUGGCACGCAGGGGUAAAUGGGAGGCUGCUGUUCAAAGCAGGUGAUUGGCCCAGGACUUCUGGCUGCUGCUGGCCCCAAGGAGGUGGGAGUCACAGAAUUUUGGCACAGCUGAAAUGCAUUUGGCACAGGCCUCAGUCCAUCCAUUGGGAAGCCUUGCUACAAGACGAUGCCUUUCCUAAUACAGUUCCAGAAAGUAGAUGGAAGGGGUCCUUUAUAAUCGUA